rnacentral:ribozyme from 1 species
UUUGUAUUGUUUUUUCUCUGAUUCUUUUUCUGAUUCAUUCAUUGUUUUUUCGAAACCCGGUGAUUCAUAUGAGAAUAAGGAGGAAGAGUAAUUUGAAUUUAAUAAAUUGA